UACGUAGGUGGCAAGCGUUAUCCGGAAUUACUGGGCGUAAAGCGCACGCAGGCGGUCUCUUAAGUUUGACGUGAAAGCUCCCGGCUUAACUGGGAGAGGUCGUUGAAAACUGGGAGGCUUGAGGCAAUGAGAGGGGUGUAGAAUUCCCGGUGUAGUGGUGGAAUGCGUAGAUAUCGGGGGGAAUACCAGUGGCGAAGGCGGCACCCUAGCAUUAGCCUGACGCUCAGGUGCGAAAGCGUGGGGAGCGAACGGG
rnacentral:misc_RNA from 1 species